rnacentral:rRNA from 1 species
GACGAACGCUGGCGGCGUGCUUAACACAUGCAAGUCGAACGGUGAAGCGCCUUCCUUUUUGGUGGGUGUGGAUGAGUGGCGAACGGGUGCGUAACACGUGAGUAACCUGCCCCCUUCUUCUGGAUAACCGCAUGAAAGCGUGGCUAAUACGGGAUAUUCUGGGUCUGUCGCAUGAUGGGUCUGGGAAAGAUAUUGUUUCGGUGGGGGAUGGGCUCGGGGCCGUUCAGCUUGUGGGUGGGGUGAUGGCCUUCCAAGGCUGGUACGGGUAGCCGGCCUGAGAGGGUGGACGGUCAGACUGGGUCAGAGACACGACCGAGACUCAUACGGGAGGCAGCAGUGGGGAAUAGUGCACAGUGGGGGAAAGCCUGAUGCAGCGACGCCGCGUGAGGGAUGGAGGCGUUCGGGUUGUGAACCUCUUUCGCCAGUGAAGCAGGCCUGCCUCGUUUGUGGGUGGGUUGACGGUAGCUGGAUAAGAAGCGCCGGCUAACUACGUG